CCACAUACAAAAGACUAAAAUAGUUGGCACCUAUUUUAACUUUAAUGUAUUAGACAAUAUGUUAUAAGUAUUUAAAAAAAAUAAUAAUUCCCCGUAUUAAGACGUCUAUGAAGUUAGCCGCACAAAUUUUUUUAAAUCAAAUUUUGCCUAAAUUUUGUAAGUAGUUUGUAAGUAUUUGUAAACAUGAAUUUGAAAUUUUUUAGUCCAGCCGUUUUUAAUUAUCCGUUUAAAAUUUAUUUCAUGGCUAUCUUUUGUGAAACUUGUUUCGUUAGAUUACCUAAUUGAUUUCUUGCUUCGUCCCAAACAAGCUGUAAUGUGGAUAGUGAGUGAAUAAGUGAUAAAUGUUGUAAUGGCUCACCACACGUUAAUUGUUUCUGUGUUGGAUUUGUACAACUAUCUUAGACUGUGGUACACAGUCAACACAAUAUUUUAGAACUAUGUGACAAUUUUUUCUGAUUGUUCCAUUCUCAAAUUCGACAAGAACUCAAAGCAAAUAAGCACAGAAAAUAGCAAAUGUUCUUUCACGAAAUCUAGCUAAAGAUAAUAAAAUAAUUUAUUAUCCACAAAUUCAGAGCGAAAACCAGCUGUAACCUCAUUAAAGCCAUCGUAGAUCUCCGUAGGCGAUCCAGCAACAGAACAAAUGUAUGCGGUUGAUUUAGAGAUAAUAUAGAGUCAAACAACUAAUAACUAGUCACCAUAAAGCUACGCGAUAACGACAAAAAGUCUUUUAACAAAACAAAAUUACAUAAAUUCCAAUAAAAUGACACCCGAAAAAAAAUUACCACAUAAAGUUACCAACCGUGUAUUUGGACAAAUUUAACACACUGUGGAUUGACGUGCAUUAGGGCACAUUUGACGUUAUUUAAAUUAUUAUCGACAAGUGACCGGGUAAGCCACCCUUUAUGUCAAGUGGUUAUUUGUUGAGCAGCUUUUUAACAAAAUAAAUUCCAUAAAAUGUGCACUUAAAUAUAUACAGUUGAUAGUAUUAUAUGAUGACUGUUUGUCGGGUGGAAUUUAGUCGGAUUAUGGCGUUGGCGUUUUGCCAAAUAGUUUUUUAUUGUUAUCGCAUAGCUUUAUAUUAAGUGGUUAUUUGUUAAGUAGCUUUUGACAUACUUUGAUUAUAGGUAGGUUGUUGAAAUUCUUUUAAAACGACAUUUUUUCAUUUUCUUU